CAGUCGACGAUGAUGACUGAGCUUGCUCAGUUUGAUUAGUGGCGCACGGGUGAGUAUACCAUAGAUAAUGUACCCCUUAGUUCGGGAUAGCCACUGGAAACGGUGAUUAAUACCGGAUACUCCUUCUCGUUAUAAGACGAGUCGGGAAAGUUUUUUCGCUAAGGGAUCAGUCUAUGUCCUAUCAGCUAGUUGGUGAGGUAAUGGCUCACCAAGGCAAUGACGGGUAUCUGGUUUGAGAGGAUGAUCAGACACACUGGAACUGAGACACGGUCCAGACUCCUACGGGAGGCAGCAGUGAGGAAUAUUGCACAAUGGAGGAAACUCUGAUGCAGCAACGCCGCGUGGAGGAUGACGCAUUUCGGUGUGUAAACUCCUUUUAAGAGGGAAGAUAAUGACGGUACCUCUUGAAUAAGCACCGGCUAACUCCGUGCCAGCAGCCGCGGUAAUACGGAGGGUGCAAGCGUUACUCGGAAUCACUGGGCGUAAAGGGUGCGUAUGCUGACUUUUAAGUCAGGUGUGAAAUCCAAUGGCUCAACCAUUGAACUGCGCUUGAAACUGGGAGUCUUGAGUUCAUAAAGGGCAGAUGGAAUUAUUGGUGUAGGGGUA
rnacentral:rRNA from 1 species